rnacentral:sRNA from 1 species
AAGAUGAAGCUAAGCUAAGUGCGCGACUUCCUGUCGCAACGGUUAGCUGACCCGCUUCCUGCGG